rnacentral:rRNA from 1 species
GACGUAGGAGGCGAGCGUUGUCCGGAUUACUGGGCGUAAAGGGCUUGUAGGCGGUCCGUUAAGUCCGAUGUGAAAUCUCCCGGCUCAACUGGGAGAGGUCAUUGGAUACUGGCGGACUAGAGGGGGGUAGAGGAAAGCAGAAUUCCUGGUGUAGCGGUGAAAUGCGUAGAUAUCAGGAGGAAUACCAGUGGCGAAGGCAGCUCGCUGGGACGUGACUGACGCUGAGACGCGAAAGCGUGGGGAGCAAACAGG